rnacentral:rRNA from 1 species
CGGACGGGUGAGUAACGCGUGAGUAACCUGCCUUUCAGAGGGGGAUAACGUUCUGAAAAGAACGCUAAUACCGCAUGAGACUACAGAGCUGCAUGGCUCAGUGGUCAAAGGAGCAAUCCGCUGAAAGAUGGACUCGCGUCCGAUUAGAUAGUAGGCGGGGUAACGGCCCACCUAGUCGACGAUCGGUAGCCGGACUGAGAGGUUGAACGGCCACAUUGGGACUGAGACACGGCCCAAACUCCUACGGGAGGCAGCAUG